rnacentral:misc_RNA from 1 species
UUAACUAUUAUAUAGUACUCAGACGACAUUAAUAUUCAGAGUUUGGGGUCCUCUGGCGAGCACUCGCUAGCCGAAGCCAGCGGCCGAGGCGGCUCGCCAAAGCAACAAAGGUUGUAUAACAUAGGGUUGGAGAGUCACCCGUGAGGGCGAUGUUCUCUGUAAUGAUCCCUCCGCAGGUUCACCUACGGAGA